GGAUAACCUACCCUUAGGACUGGGAUAACCCUGGGAAACUGGGGAUAAUACUAGAUAGGCAAUUUUUCCUGGAAUGGUUUUUUGUUUAAAUGUUUUUUCGCCUAAGGAUGGGUCUGCGGCCGAUUAGGUAGUUGGUUAGGUAACGGCUUACCAAGCCAUUGAUCGGUACGGGUUGUGAGAGCAAGAGCCCGGAGAUGGAACCUGAGACAAGGUUCCAGGCCCUACGGGGUGCAGCAGGCGCGAAACCUCCGCAAUGUGAGAAAUCGCGACGGGGGGAUCCCAAGUGCCAUUCUUAACGGGAUGGCUUUUCAUUAGUGUAAAGAGCUUUUGGAAUAAGGGCUGGGCAAGACCGGUGCCAGCCGCCGCGGUAACACCGGCAGCUCUAGUGGUAGCAGUUUUUAUUGGGCCUAAAGCGUCCGUAGCCGGUUUAAUAAGUCUCUGGUGAAAUCCUGUAGCUUAACUGUGGGAAUUGCUGGAGAUACUAUUAGACUUGAGACCGGGAGAGGUUAGAGGUACUCCCAGGGUAGAGGUGAAAUUCUGUAAUCCUGGGAGGACCGCCUGUUGCGAAGGCGUCUAACUGGAACGGUUCUGACGGUGAGGGACGAAAGUUAGGGGCGCGAACCGGAUUAGAUACCCGGGUAGUCCUAACUGUAAACGAUGCGGACUUGGUGUUGGGGGUGGCUUUGAGCUGCUCCAGUGCCGAAGGGAAGCUGUUAAGUCCGCCGCCUGGGAAG
rnacentral:rRNA from 1 species